ACACUGAAGGGAGGUGGUCCAGGAAUUGAUUUCUCAUUGGACGCGUGAGGUGACUGCGCGCUAGCGCAUCUCGACUGCUCGAGGUGCGUCAUCCCGGCGCAAUCCCCAGCAGCUCACCGCAGCCCGCGAGCCGUGCAGGUCGUCCCCUGCACUCGUCGCGCCGAGCCCCCUCGGUCGACAGGCACGCGGGCUGUUCCCU
rnacentral:sRNA from 1 species